ACGGAGGGUGCAAGCGUUAUCCGGAAUCACUGGGUUUAAAGGGUGCGUAGGCGGUUAGAUAAGUUAGAGGUGAAAGGUUGUCGCUUAACGAUAAAAUUGCCUUUAAUACUGUUUAACUUGAAUUAGGUUAAGGUAGGCGGAAUGUGACAUGUAGCGGUGAAAUGCAUAGAUAUGUCAUGGAACACCAAUUGCGAAGGCAGCUUACUAGACCUUGAUUGACGCUGAGGCACGAAAGCGUGGGUAGCGAACAGG
rnacentral:rRNA from 1 species